GACGAACGCUGGCGGCAGGCUUAACACAUGCAAGUCGAGCGCCCCGCAAGGGGAGCGGCAGACAGGUGAGUAACGCGUGGGAAUCUACCCAUCUCUACGGAAUAACGCAUGGAAACGUGUGCUAAUACCGUAUACGUCCUUCGGGAGAAAGAUUUAGCGGAGAUGGAUGAGCCCGCGUUGGAUUAGCGAGUUGGGGGGGUAAAGGCCUACCAAGGCGACGAUCCAUAGCUGGUUUGAGAGGAUGAUCAGCCACACUGGGACUGAGACACGGCCCAGACUCCUACGGGAGGCAGCAGUGGGGAAUAUUGGACAAUGGGCGCAAGCCUGAUCCAGCCAUGCCGCGUGAGUGAUGAAGGCCCUAGGGUUGUAAAGCUCUUUCACCGGUGAAGAUAAUGACGGUAACCGGAGAAGAAGCCCCGGCUAACUUCGUGCCAGCCGCCGCAGUAAAAC
rnacentral:rRNA from 1 species